rnacentral:lncRNA from 1 species
GGGUGUUCCGCGCUAAACCUAUCAAUCCUGUAUGUAAAAUUAAAUGCUGAGAAAAUCCAUGAAAUAGUAGAAUAACUGGUCAGUGUGGUUGUGCCACGCCAUACCUAUAAAGGGAAUAAAUAUGCAUGUUUAGCUUUAAUACCCAGUAGCUACACACACAUAUAUAUAUAUAAACAUAUAUAUAACAGAUAGUUAUACAUGUU